GCCUUCUCAUGAGCUCCUCUCUGUCCCUCUCAGUGGCGUUGUAUGGAUUCGCACGAGAAGCAGAGCCAUAAUCAUAGUAGAACAGGCACGCCCACUCAUUUGGACGAUGCCCAUGUCUGCUGUGGAACAAGU